rnacentral:rRNA from 1 species
UACAGAGGGUGCGAGCGUUGUUCGGAAUUACUGGGCGUAAAGCGCGCGUAGGUGGUGUGUUAAGUCUGCCGGUCAAAUGCCGGAGCUCAACCUCGUUGCACGCCGGGGAUACUGGCACGCUAGAGACAAGUAGAGGCAAGCGGAAUUCCGGGUGUAGCGGUGGAAUGCGUAGAGAUCCGGAAGAACACCGGAGGCGAAGGCGGCUUGCUGGGCUUGGUCUGACGCUGAGGCGCGAAAGCGUGGGGAGCGAACAGG